rnacentral:rRNA from 1 species
UACGUAGGGACCGAGCGUUGUCCGGAAUCAUUGGGCGUAAAGAGCUCGUAGGCGGCUGUUCAAGUCGAACGUGAAAACUCGGAGCUCAACUCCGAGCCUGCGUUCGAUACUGGACGGCUAGAGUCUGGUAGGGGGAUCUGGAAUUCCUGGUGUAGCGGUGGAAUGCGCAGAUAUCAGGAGGAACACCGGUGGCGAAGGCGGGAUCCUGGGCCGAUACUGACGCUGAGGAGCGAAAGCGUGGGGAGCGAACAGG